rnacentral:ncRNA from 1 species
UAUUCACGGUACCAAAUCGAGGCAAACUUUGAAUACUAGAUAUGAUCUCAAAAUAACAGGGGUCAAGGUCGGCCAGUGAGACGAUGGGGGAUAAGCUUCAUCGUCGAGAGGGAAACAGCUCGGAUCACCAGCUAAGGCCCCUAAAUGACUGCUCAAUGAUAAAGGAGGUAGGGGUGCAGAGACAGCCAGGAGGUUUGCCUAGAAGUAGCCACCCUUGAAAGAGUGCGUAAUAUCACACUGAUCGAGCGCUCUUGCGCCGAAGAUGAACGGGGCUAAGCGAUCUGCCGAAGCUGUGGGAUGUCAAAAUGCAUCGGUAGGGGAGCAUUCCGCCUUAGAGGGAAGCAACUGCGCGAGCAGUUGUAGACGAAGCGGAAGCG